rnacentral:rRNA from 1 species
UAGGGAAUCUUCGGCAAUGGACGGAAGUCUGACCGAGCAACGCCGCGUGUGUGAAGAAGGUUUUCGGAUCGUAAAGCUCUGUUGUUAGAGAAGAACGUUGGCAGGAGUGGAAAAUCUACCAAGUGACGGUAACUAACCAGAAAGGGACGGCUAACUACGUGCCAGCAGCCGCGGUAAUACGUAGGUCCCGAGCGUUGUCCGGAUUUAUUGGGCGUAAAGCGAGCGCAGGCGGUUCAUUAAGUCUGAAGUUAAAGGCAGUGGCUUAACCAUUGUACGCUUUGGAAACUGGAGGACUUGAGUGCAGAAGGGGAGAGUAGAAUUCCAUGUGUAGCUGUGAAAUGCGUAGAUAUAUGGAGGAACACCGGUGGCGAAAGCGGCUCUCUGGUCUGUAACUGACGCUGAGGCUCGAAAGCGUGGGGAGCAAACAGG